GCCGUUGUAGCUCAGUGGCCAGAGCAGUGCUUUCGUAAAGCACCGGUCGUCGGUUCAAAUCCGACCAACGGCU
rnacentral:tRNA from 1 species